GUGCCAGCAGCCGCGGUAAUACCGGCAGCCCAAGUGGUGGCCGCUUUUAUUGGGCCUAAAGCGUCCGUAGCCGGCCAGGUAAGUCCCUGUGUAAAUCUUCAGGCUUAACUUGAAGAAUUGCGGGGAUACUGCUUGGCUUGGGGCCGGAAGACGUGGAGGGUACUCCGGGGGUAGCGGUGAAAUGCUGUAAUCCUCGGGGGACCACCAGUGGCGAAGGCUCUCCACGAGGACGGGCCCGACGGUGAGGGACGAAAGCCAGGGGCGCGAACGGGAUUAGAUACCCCGGUAGUCCUGGCCGUAAACGCUGCGGCUUGGUGUUGCACGCUCUACGGGGGCGUGCAGUGCCGAAGCGAAGGCGAUAAGCCUGCCGCCUGGGAAGUACGCUCGCAAGAGUGAAACCCAAUAGAUUAGUACGG
rnacentral:rRNA from 1 species